GGAUAUUAACUUUAAACUGGACAGGAGAUAUAUUAAAAGUUUAAAACAGAGCUAAAAGGGAUAAACCAACUUUGUAUUUUUCCUCCCCCCUCACCAGGUCCUGAAACCAUUUAUUUUCAGAAUUCUGUUGCACCUUAUACUUGUAGUAAGUCGAGAAAUGGAGACCAGAUCUUUUGGAAAUGGUCUGGUUUGCCUGCUAGAAGGAAUCUCAUAUCUUCCAGGUGUAACGUUUCGAACAUAUUUGAAAUCCACAUAUUUAUUGUUGGUGUUGGGGCGUUUUUCCAGAAUUUAAGUAUGAGUUUUUUUCCCAUUAUUAAACCGUAAUUAAGUCGGGUAUUUUGGGACAUAGUUAGCUCAGGGCUGCCUUCCAUUGUUCCAAAAAUAAUCUAUUCUGCGUUCGGUUUCAGUUUUAUUUUUAAUAAUUUUGUAAAAAUUUCAUAAAUUUCAUUCCAAAAUGUUUGGAUUUUUCUACAAAAAACAAAGGAAUGUGCUAUAGUUGCUUCAUGGGAUAGACAUUUAUCACAGGUGGGGGAGACAUUUGGAAAAAGUUUACUUAUUUUAGUUUUUGAGUAAUAUAGUCUAUGUAAGGUUUUAAAUUUCUAACGUGUGAUAUUCCACUCCUACAACCAUUUAUUAGACUGUACCAGUCUGUUCUGCUUUCGAUUUUACAAGGACAUAGAAACGUAAUGAAUAAUGAAGAGAGACACAAAAUGCUGGAGUAACUCAGCGGGACAGGCAGCAUCUGGAGAGAAAGAAUGGGUGAUGUUUCGUGUCGAGACCCUUCUUCAGAUCCAGACUUCUUUGACCCGAAACGUCACCCAUUCCUUCUCUCCAGAGAUGCUGCCUGCCCCACCCAGUUACUCCUGCCCAGUUACUUGUCUAUAUUCGGUAUAAAGCAGCAUCUGCAGUUCCUUCCAACAUGAAACUUUAUCAAUGUAUUUCUGUCUCCAUUAUUUCCACUAGAAACUUAAUGAAGCUAAUAUGGUUAUAAAUGAUCAGCAUCUGCCAUUUUACCCAUUUGGGCUUUCUGGUCAAUCUAAUGUAUCGCUGCUCAUGUGGGUUUUAUUUUUCCCAUUUCUCCGGCAAUCCUCUGGGACUGAUUGAGGAUGUUCAAUGUCCUCGCCGUUCUGUUGCCCACUCGCUCAAUUAAUUGACUGACUAGUGAGGUACAAAUGAGUUAAAACCAUUCUACUGAGAAGCAGGAAGGAAGUGGGUCAAGAAUGAAACUGUCGAUGUACAGAUGAGUCGUUUCAGUCAAGGCAAAGCGACUGAAUGUGGUUGUGAAAUCCCAGAUGACAGCAGUGACAAUAUUCCAGUGGCAGAUUCCACAGAGGAAUGGUCCUUCCCCGUGUAGUUGUGUGCGGUUAAUUCUCAAAUGGUCCUGGCCCAGGGUUUUCAAAGUGGCUGUGUUCAAUACAACAUUUGCCAACUAGCUAUUCACUGCAGCAUUUCCUUUGCAAAUGAUUUAGUGGCCCAGUUCCGUUCAAGAUCACACGACCAUCAAACAUUCUUCAGUAUGAUUUUACACAUCAUCACCACUUCAAAUGGUGACAUUUGUUUUAGAGAAAUGAAAAGGUGGUUAUGUGGGUAUUUUCAGAGUCUGUGAAGGUCUUGGUGCACUGUGUGAUGUUGAACUUGGAGAACACUGCAAGAUGGUUAUGUGGGUUAUUUACAGAGGCUGUGAAGGUCUUGGUGCACUGUGUGAUGUUGAACUUGGAGAACACUGCAAGAUGGUUAUGUGGGUUAUUCACAGAGGCUGUGAAGGUCUUGGUGCACUGUGUGAUGUUGAACUUGGAGAACACUGCAAGAUGGUUAUGUGGGUUAUUCACAGAGGCUGUGAAGGUCUUGGUGCACUGUGUGAUGUUGAACUUGGAGACACUGCAAGAUGGUUAUGUGGGUUAUUCACAGAGGCUGUGAAGGUCUUGGUGCACUCUGUGAUGUUGAACUUGGAGAACACUGCAAGAUGCAGGAACUAUUUGGAUGCUAAUGAAAAUAUUGGCUGCAGGUUCCUCCUUGAAUGAAAUUAAAAGCUCGGGAGAAAAUUUACAUUCAAUAUUGUACUAAGUUUGAAAAUAAUGUAUGAUCCUGAUUCUCAAAUGUACCUCAUUUGUAACCCCCUAAACCCACCGUGAUGUGCUACAUUUGGAUAUAGAUUUAAACUGCUAUAAUGGUAUAUGGACAUAUAAUGGUAGAUGGACACACUGAUCUGUUUUGUUGUCAAUGCCUACUAUGUUCUGUUGUGCUGAAGCAAAGCAAGAAUUUCAUUGUGCUAUCAGGGACACAUGACAAUAAACUCACUUGAACUUGAACUUGAGCUAAAGCUCUAACAUAGCUGCAAGGCGUGAAUAUUGACCAUGUUCCCUUCGUUACAAAACAGCAGAUUCCCACGUUUGCCAUUUUAUCUUAGACAUUUGCCACCCACUAAUAGCAUUUAAUAUAAGGAGGUUCCAAGUCUAAACUGAUCCAAUAUAUUUGUGACCUCAGGAAAUUCCCAAUUUGUUUUGUCCAAUUAGCUAUUACAAGAUGAUUUUUAAUCUGACGUAAACAUUAUCAACACAAUACCUAUCCACAUUAUCAACACAACCUUAUCCACCAGAUGAGGCAGAGAAUUCCACAGACUCACAACUCUCUGUGAGAAAAAGUAUUUCCUCAUCUCCGUUUCCUAGUCAAUCUAAAUUGAAUACUUUUGUUCCCGUUUCGCCGGCAACGUCCUGGGACCGUUUGAGAAUAUUGAAUGUCCCUUGCCAUUGUGUUGCCUUCUCUGUUCAUUAACUCACUAGCGAGGUCUGAUUUAGUUGAGAACAUUUUACCAGUGGUCGGAGGUAAUUGAGUCAAACAUUAAAAAGGCGGAGUACAGAUGAAUGAUUUGGGCCAAUAGUGGUUGAAUAUGGUGGUGAAAUCCCAGAUUACUGAAGUGACAAUAUUCCAGCAGCAGAAUCCACCAAGUGAAUGUAUUUUCCCCGUGUAAUUGUGUGCGGCCAAUUCUAAAAUGCCCCAGGGUCAGGAGUUUCAAACUGGCUGUACUCAAUACAACAUUUGCCAACUACCAAUCUACUGAUCCUUAGUCUAAAACUGCACCUUGUUUCCAAACAGAGAAUGUACAAAAUGAGGCCGAGGUUUCUCUGCAACAGUUUGCCUGCUGGUUUGAUGUUGGGUUUCUGUUUGUUUUCCUGCUUCGACCAGUUUCCACACAGAGUAAACCCACCAGUCACCAGCCUCAUCAUCAUCCAAUUUCUUCUGCAACUUUCAGUUUUCUCCAAAUCAAACGGCACAGUUUGCACCAAGACCUUCACAACCUCUGGGAAUAAAUCACGUCCCUUCCAGUUCAAUUCAGUUUAGUUCAGUGUCACACGUUGGUGAGGUAAAGAGAAAAGCUUUUGCAGAAUAUGCUAACCAGCCUGGAGAAAGACAAGUAUAAUGAAUGCUAUUCACAACUGAAGUUAGAAUAGUUUCCAGUAACACAUAUUCAAGCAGAUGACUGUGUGAUGUUUGAAAUGUCUAUGAUAAUGGCAAAUGACAGAGUCUGUUGUUUUGUAAUAAAUGGAACGGUG